AAUUAAAGUAAUUGAAUAAACAAAUAAUAAAACAAGAAAAAGAAACUAUCUCUACUAUUUAUAUUAAUUAAAAAAAAAAAUCACACAUCUCUAUCAUUUAAUUAACAAAAAAAAAAAUCACACAAUUAUAAAAGAAACAUGGUAAAACCAGAAGAAGAAA
rnacentral:ribozyme from 1 species